UGUAAUGUCCGAUCAAACAUAUAUACACAUGUCAGUGUAUGUAUUCCUGGUGUGGGCUGCCACAGUCACCGAGGACCUACCUCAGUUUACCGAUGAAACUCUCUCCACCUCUGGACAGAUCAGUGGGAUCAAUGGAGAUGAGAUGAAGAUAGUAGGUGGGAUACAUGCCUCUGUCCAUGCCCUUCUUGUCUCUGGUGAUUCUGCACUUCACUCUGACUCCCUGGGGCGCCGGUCUCAGAGAAAACUCUUCAAGGUCGUCUACAUCGAUGGCAGGUUCACUGACUGGAGGAGUGGGUGCUGAGGCCACCUCCUGUAGGAAAACAUUGGGCACACGCAGCCCAAGACCCCUCAUAAUGUGAAAGGAACUGCUAAAUGUGAACCACGAACUUUUACCUUGCACGACUUCUUGCUGGUAGCAGAGCCUGGUCUCGUGUUGCUGUUGAGCUGUGAGGAACUGGAGCUGAUUUCAUCUUCAUCAUCCUCUUCUU